rnacentral:tRNA from 1 species
GCUCCGGUAGCUCAGCUGGAUAGAGCGCCGCCGUCCUAAGGCGGGCGUCGCAGGUUCGAAUCCUGCCCGGAGUACCA